UACGAGGGGGGCAAGCGUUGUUCGGAAUUAUUGGGCGUAAAGGGCGCGUAGGCGGUGCGGUAAGUCACCUGUGAAACCUCUAGGCUUAACCUAGAGCCUGCAGGCGAAACUGCCGUGCUUGAGGGUGGGAGAGGUGCGUGGAAUUCCCGGUGUAGCGGUGAAAUGCGUAGAUAUUGGGAAGAACACCGGUGGCGAAGGCGGCGACCUGGUCCGAUACUGACGCUGAGGAGCGAAAGCCAGGGGAGCAAACGGG
rnacentral:rRNA from 1 species